rnacentral:misc_RNA from 1 species
GAUGAAGAACGUAGCGAAAUGCGAUAAGUAAUGUGAAUUGCAGAAUUCAGUGAAUCAUCGAAUCUUUGAACGCACAUUGCGCCCGCCAGUAUUCUGGCGGGCAUGCCUGUUCGAGCGUCAUUUCAACCAUCAAGCCCCCGGCUUGUGUUGGGACCUGCGGCUGCCGCAGGCCCUGAAAAGCAGUGGCGGGCUCGCUGUCACACCGAGCGUAGUAGCAUACAUCUCGCUCUGGGCGUGCUGCGGGUUCCGGCCGUUAAACCACCUUCAUAACCCAAGGUUGACCUCGGAUCAGGUAGGAAGACCCGCUGAACUUAAGCAUAUCAAUAAGCGGAGGA